rnacentral:rRNA from 1 species
GUGCCAGCCGCCGCGGUAAGACGAGGGACCCUAGCGUUGUUCGGAAUCAUUGGGCGUAAAGCGGGUGUAGGUGGCUUUGUAAGUCAGGUGUGAAAUCCCUGGGCUCAACCCAGGACGUGCAUUUGAUACUGCGAAGCUUGAGUGCCGGAGAGGUUACUGGAAUACCUGGUGUAGUGGUGAAAUACGUAGAUAUCAGGUGGAACACCGGAGGCGAAGGCGGGUAACUGGCCGGACACUGACACUCAGACCCUAAAGCGUGGGGAUCAAACAGGAUUAGAUACCCUGGUAGUCCACGCCGUAAACGAUGGAUACUUGUUGUUGGAGGUAUUGACCCCUUCAGUGACGCAGCUAACGCGGUAAGUAUCCCGCCUGGGGAGUACGGUCGCAAGAUUAAAACUUAAAUAAAUUGACGG